AAACUUUCAACAACGGAUCUCUUGGUUCUGGCAUCGAUGAAGAACGCAGCAAAAUGCGAUAAGUAAUGUGAAUUGCAGAAUUCAGUGAAUCAUCGAAUCUUUGAACGCACAUUGCGCCCGCCAGUAUUCUGGCGGGCAUGCCUGUUCGAGCGUCAUUUCAACCCUCAAGCAC
rnacentral:rRNA from 1 species